rnacentral:rRNA from 1 species
GAUGAACGCUGGCGGCGUGCCUAAUACAUGCAAGUCGAGCGAACGGACGAGAAGCUUGCUUCUCUGAUGUUAGCGGCGGACGGGUGAGUAACACGUGGAUAACCUACCUAUAAGACUGGGAUAACUUCGGGAAACCGGAGCUAAUACCGGAUGAUAUUUUGAACCGCAUGGUUCAAAAGUGAAAGACGGUCUUGCUGUCACUUAUAGCUGGAUCCGCGCUGCAUUAGCUAGUUGGUAAGGUAACGGCUUACCACGGCAACGAUGCAUAGCCGACCUGAGAGGGUGAGCGGCCACACUGGAAGUGAGACACGGUCCAGAGGCCGACGGGAGGCAGCAGUAGGGAAUCGUGCGCAAUGGGCGAAAGCCUGACGGAGCAACGCCGCGGGAGUGAGGAAGGUCUUCGGAUCGUAAAACUCGGUUAUUAGGGAGGAACAUAUGUGUAAGUAACUGGGCACAUCUUGACGGGACCUAAGCAGAAAGCCACGGCUAACUUCGUG